AAAGAGAGAAUGCUGUGAAGUUUGAGCUCUCAAAAGCCGAGGAGAGGACCAAGAAAGCUGAAGCAAAGUUAGUGGACCUGAAGGCAGAUGAGCUCAAGGAAGCUUCAUCCCAAAAGGGGGGACAGACCCCCACCUCUCAGCCAUUGACAUGUCGCCGAGGUUAACAAAGAUAGUGGGGCCAUUCUUCAUCAAUGGAAACCUCAAGGCCACUGGAUAUGCGAAAUUGCUACCUGAUGAUGUGUUUCCCUCUUUAUGCACUGAAGCUGGCACGUUCCCUGAGUUUUUCCAGCAAGAUGGUGCACCACCACAUUAUGGGUGUCAGGUCCGAACAUUCCUAGAUGAACAGUUUCCUGGAAAGUGGAUUGGUCAUUCUGGGCCAGUUGAAUGGCCCCCAAGGUCUCCCGAUCUGACCCCCUUAGACUUUUAUCUUUGGGGUCAUCUGAAGGCAAUUAUCUAUGCUGUGAAGAUACGAGAUGUGCAGCACCUGAGACUACGGAUACUGGAAGCCUGUGCUAGCAUUUCUUCUGCGGUGUUGCUAUCAGUGUGUGAAGAGUGGCAGAAGAGGGUUGCAUUGACAAUCCAACACAAUAGGCAGCACAUUGAACACAUUUUAUAAGUGGUCAGAAACUUGUAAAUAACUCAUGAAAGAAUAAAGUUAUGUUAAAACCAA